rnacentral:rRNA from 1 species
CUACGGGAGGCAGCAGUGGGGAAUUUUGGACAAUGGGCGCAAGCCUGAUCCAGCCAUGCCGCGUGCGGGAAGAAGGCCUUCGGGUUGUAAACCGCUUUUGUCAGGGAAGAAACGCUCUGGGCUAAUACCCCGGGGUAAUGACGGUACCUGAAGAAUAGGCACCGGCUAACUACGUGCCAGCAGCCGCGGUAAUACGUAGGGUGCAAGCGUUAAUCGGAAUUACUGGGCGUAAAGCGUGCGCAGGUGGUCAUGUAAGACAGAUGUGAAAUCCCCGGGCUUAACCUGGGAACUGCAUUUGUGACUGCAUGGCUUGAGUACGGCAGAGGGGGAUGGAAUUCCGCGUGUAGCAGUGAAAUGCGUAGAUAUGCGGAGGAACACCGAUGGCGAAGGCAGGUCUCUGGGCCACUACUGACGCUGAGAAGCGAAAGCGUGGGGAGCGAACAGGAUUAGAUACCCGAGUAGUCC